GGGGAGAGCCAGGCACAUCGGCGAGGCGGGUGACGUCAUAGCACGGCGUAGAGAGCCAGAGCGCUGCGCGCUCCAUGACUCAUGGGGGAUAGUGCUGGGGGUUUGUUGUGACGGCCAGAAGUGGUAUGUAACUACUAACAUUCCCAGGUAAUGAAACUGAGAAGAAAAAAUGGGCCGAGAAUAUGGGCAGACCAGAUUGGUUACCAGGAAAAACAGCAGUUCUUUGCUCUAACCAUUGCACCAGUGAUUGCUUCGAGUGCUGGUGGAAUAUGACAUGACUGCGCAAGGGUAGCGUGCCUACAAUUUUUCUACAAGACAGAAUUGAGGCACAUACAACUUCCGAUGUAGGCCAGGCUUCAAGUAAAAGAUUAAAGGUUGACAUGUCACUGCCUACGACAAGUCCUCCAUCUACGUCAAUGGAUCAACCAAGCUGUACUAAGGAGUCAAGUUCUGCAGAAGCAAUACUUCCCACACUGAGUCUGGAAAUGUCAACACCGAGUUGUUCUAUUUCAACUCCGAAAUCAUCUAUUCGUCAGGAGCAACUGACACCAAGGACAUUACGGCGGCGAGAACUAUUCAAGCUUGAUCACCUUUAUGAAGACACUCCUC